GGAGCAGCAGUGGGAUGCAAUCACCCUAGGCCAAGUGGCGUGCGGCGUCCGCCAAAAAUUGGAACGAGACGGAGGUCAAAUAAAAUAAUUUCAACGUGGGUCCAUCCAAUAAUUUCUCGAUGGUGGGGAGGGGAGGAUGGAGGACAUGAGUGCUGGUAUCCAAAGUAAAGGCGAGACUCUUGAAGAGCCUCUUUCUUUUCGAGAUUGAUUGGCUAUAGUUCUUUUCUCCCAUUGCCAUCCCAUCACGAGCAUCCUUCCCAACGAGAGAGUGACGACAAGUUUUCUUCUCAAUCGGCAUCUGAUGACAAACAACCUUAAUUUCUGACCAGCAUUUAACAAUGAGCGUCCUUACGGAUCAGAUUUUGCUCUCGCUUCUCUGCCCACCAUGUUACAAAGAUUGAGAAUGCUAGUGUAUCAUUUGCUGAUUUUGAGUUCUACUUGUUUAAUACUAUAGAUUUGAUUCCUUAA